UGGAAGGGUAGCGAAGAGGCUAAACGCGGCGGACUGUAAAUCCGCUCCUUCGGGUUCGGGGGUUCGAAUCCCUCCCCUCCCAU
rnacentral:tRNA from 1 species